UAAUACAGAGGGUGCGAGCGUUAUCCGGAAUCACUGGGCGUAAAGGGCGUGUAGGUGGUUUGUUAAGUUCGAUGUUAAAUACUGAAGCUCAACUUCAGCACGGCGUUGAAUACUGGCAGGCUAGACAAUUGGAGAGGCAAGUAGAAUUACCAGUGUAGCGGUGAAAUGCGUAGAUACUGGUAGGAAUACCCAUUGCGAAGGCAGCUUGCUAGACAAUUUGUGACACUCAGACGCGAAAGUGUGGGGAGCAAACCGGAUUAGAUACCCGGGUAGUCCACACCCUAAACGAUGCAUACUUGGUGUCGGCCCGUUGGGGUCGGUGCCGGAGCUAACGUGUUAAGUAUGCCGCCUGGGAAGUACGGCCGCAAGGUUG
rnacentral:rRNA from 1 species